AUUGAACGCUGGCGGCAUGCUUUACACAUGCAAGUCGAACGGCAGCACGGACUUCGGUCUGGUGGCGAGUGGCGAACGGGUGAGUAAUACAUCGGAACGUACCCAGUCAUGGGGGAUAACUAUCCGAAAGGAUAGCUAAUACCGCAUACGCCCUACGGGGGAAAGAGGGGGAUCGCAAGACCUCUUGUUAUUGGAGCGGCCGAUGGCUGAUUAGCAAGUUGGUAGGGUAAAGGCCUACCAAGGCAACGAUCAGUAGCGGGUCUUAGAGGACGGUCCGCCACUGUGGAGUUGGGAUCCGGUCCAGGUUCCUACGGGAGGCAGCAGUGGGGAAUCUUGGACAAUGGGCGCAAGCCUGAUCCAGCAAAGCGGCGUGCGUGAAGAAGGCCUUCGGGUUGUAAAGCGCUUUUGUCAGGGAGCAAAUCCUUGUGGCUAAUACCCACCGGGGAUGAGAGUACCUGAAGAAUAAGGACCGGCUAACUACGUGCCAGCCGCCGCCGUAA
rnacentral:rRNA from 1 species